UUUAUUUUAUUAUUUUAGAAUUGUUUAAAGUUAUCUAAUCCUGGUGGGUCAGUACAAUGGCCUAAGGGAAGACGGGCUCAUUCCAGUGUAUUGAUUAACACUAGCUCAGGACCACACCUACUAGUGGUGGGUGGAGUUGGUGCUUACGACUGCGUCAUAUUUGAUAUUAACAAUAAAUCAUGGAAGCAACUGUUUAAUAUACCAGACAUUGUCACUAAUAGACGGGAGCAUUCUCUCUCAGUUUGGAGUGUGACGCCAACUACUAACUGGAUAAUUGAGUUUGGAGGGUUGAGAGAUUAUUUGACAAUAAGUGAUACAGCAGUUAUUGAACUCAGAUACACUAGUGAUAAUGAUUGGUCUACUAGUGUAAUAC